rnacentral:rRNA from 1 species
UACGUAGGGCGCAAGCGUUAUCCGGAAUUAUUGGGCGUAAAGAGCUCGUAGGCGGUUUGUCGCGUCGGGAGUGAAAUCAUCUGGCUUAACUGGGUGCUUGCUUUCGAUACGGGCAGACUAGAGGUAUGCAGGGGAGAACGGAAUUCCUGGUGUAGCGGUGAAAUGCGCAGAUAUCAGGAGGAACACCGGUGGCGAAGGCGGUUCUCUGGGCAUUACCUGACGCUGAGGAGCGAAAGCAUGGGGAGCGAACAGG